rnacentral:rRNA from 1 species
GAUGAACGCUGGCGGCGUGCCUAAUACAUGCAAGUCGAGCGAACGGACGAGAAGCUUGCUUCUCUGAUGUUAGCGGCGGACGGGUGAGUAACACGUGGAUAACCUACCUAUAAGACUGGGAUAACUUCGGGAAACCGGAGCUAAUACCGGAUAAUAUUUUGAACCGCAUGGUUCAAAAGUGAAAGACGGUCUUGCUGUCACUUAUAGAUGGAUCCGCGCUGCAUUAGCUAGUUGGUAAGGUAACGGCUUACCAAGGCAACGAUGCAUAGCCGACCUGAGAGGGUGAUCGGCCACACUGGAACUGAGACACGGUCCAGACUCCUACGGGAGGCAGCAGUAGGGAAUCUUCCGCAAUGGGCGAAAGCCUGACGGAGCAACGCCGCGUGAGUGAUGAAGGUCUUCGGAUCUUAAAACUCUGUUAUUAGGGAAGAACAUAUGUGUAAGUAACUGUGCACAUCUUGACGGUCCCUAAUCAGAAAGCCACGGCUAACUACGUG